UCAAAGGGAUAAGACAUAAAUCUUAGCCCACCAUGGCAUUUGUGGCAAGGUUAUAUUUAAAAAAAAACCAAAGGCAAAAAAACCUUCAAGGCUUGAGACGUUUCUAGGGUAUACAAACCCUAAAAAUUCAUUCCACAGCCUCAUUCAUUUUAUUUUACAUCCUGCAUUUUUCUUCUCUCGUGGCCACCAAUGCUGAAGAUGAGGGUUUCUGGAAAUUGAGUGAAAUUUCUUCUGCUGAAGCUUUGAUCUUCUAUUUUGGAGGUUCUUCGCAGGAACACUGAGGACCCAGGGAAGUUAGGAGGAGCAGGACAACACCAACAAAUUUAUGGAUUAGCCAACAAGCACCGGUCAUUCAGGCAAUGACUGGUCACCCUCUAGACAUGCAUUCUUUAGCAUUUACUCAUUGAUGUAUAGUUUAUCUUUAAUGUGCAUCAUGCAUAUUGAAUGAGCAACGUCAGUCUCACGGCUUCUUGUGUGAGACAUGUACUCUAAAAUAAAGAUUACAUCUCUUCAGAAGGACUUGCCUAAUCUGUCUAUGCUUUGUACAUUUAUAUCAAUGAAAUGAUUUUAUUUUGCAAUCUUUUGUUCUGUAAUCUCUUAAGGUUAUUUCAUUGGUGUACUUGAACGCAACAUAAAGAGGUUAUAAAAUACACCAUUUGAUUAAAAAACUUGGUGGCUCUACCUAAUUGGGCCUGUAGCUGAAAAUCAGGUAAUAUUUUUGGCGACUUCUGCUAAAGACAUAAAUCUUAGCCCACUGUGGUAUUUGUUGCAAGGUUAUAUUUUAAGGAAAAAAAACAAAGGCAAAAAAACCUUAAAAGUUUGAGACGUUUGGAGGGUAUACAAACCCUAAAAAUGUGUUCCACGGCCUCACUCAUUUUAUUUUACAUCCUGCAUUUUUCUUCUAUCGUGGCCACCAAUGCUGAAGAUGAGGAUUUCUGGAAAUUGCAUGAAAUUUCUUCUACUGAAGCUUUGAUCUUCUAUUUUGGAGGUUCUUCGCAGUGGAGAACUCCAGCAGAAAGGUGGAGAGCACAAGCAAUGGAAGUGUGUCUACUAUUAGAACGGUAAGGUGGAGAGCACAAGCAAUGGAAGUGUGUCUACUACAUGGAAGAUGGAAGUCAAUAGAAUAGCCACCAAAGCCACGGAAAUUUGACUUAAAAUAGAGAGCAGUGCUUGCGAGAGAUGGAAGGUGCGAGGAGGAGAGUUGUGGACGAGAUCCCUGAGUGGCUGCGUGGUGGUUGGAUUACUGAAUAUAAGGAACAAGAAGAAAUAACUGCAGCUUUUCAGGCAUAUUAUGCGUUUCAUUGGUGAGGAACUCACUAGCAUAAGCUUUCUUCCAUAACAUUCGCUAUUAUUUUCAAGUAUGCCUUCCGAGAUGUGGGCUUCAUCAUGCCCCCUAUAAUAGCACCAAAUUGGACAGGUGCGUCAAGUAUUUUAUCGACCAACAAUCCCACAGAGAGCAGUGUAGGUGAUCAUGAAAUCGAUGACCGCCGCAAAGAGAGUAGUGUGAAUUGACUGUCAAAUGAUUGUAUCUCAUGGUCACCUACACUGCUCUCUGCACGGCGUCAUCGAUAUAAUGAUCGACCGUCAAUUGACUAUUGGAGAAAACCGAUUGCAGAUUACAAAAAGGCAAAUCCAAGUUCAGAUAAAUGUUUCCCCUUCAAUAGAUUACUGGUCUGAUAAUGGUGCCGAUAGUUCGAGAUUGUUGCUCGAAAAAAUAAUUGACCCAUCUGUACAAUUGUUUUAUCCAAUAUAAUAAAGCCCGCAUCUGGGAAGGCAUACUUGAAAAUCAAAUGCAUCUUACAGAAAAGCAAAUCCAAGUUCAGGUAAGUGUUCAAGAAAAGAGAGAUUACUGGGUUUGAGAUGGGUGUGAAUUGAAGAGUAAUUGUUCGCACAGUUGUUUUGGGAUCCCACCCACCCGGUCAAAGGGUUCUGAAUUCUGAUAGAGGAGGUUUAUUAUAGAGGAAGAAGAAGUGAAAAAAAUCUUGAAAUUAUUUCCGCUCCAUUCUGAUGGAGGAGGUUUAUUGUAAAUCAUGAAACAACACUUAUUAUUUGUAAAGGUGUCCACUGUAUUAGGAGCUUUGUAAGAGAAAAUCAAUAAUAUUACUGUUCCAAGAUUAGCCUGUAGACUUAUUUUAUUAUGAUGAUUGGAAAAAUACCACUGAACUCUGGAAAUGAAUCGAUGAAUCGAUUUUAUUAUACAGAGUGUUUAAGACUUUUAUUUGGGAUGAUAAUUAUGUUAUUUUACAGUAAUCAAAUAGUUUAUUUUACUGUAAUAAUUUAAAAAAUACCAUUGAUCAGGAAACUUUAUCAGAAAUAAGAAAAGCACUCAUCAAUUGAUAGACGUUUCAAAAAAAAGUAGAACAAAGCAAACCCGGAAUUUUUUUUCAGUAAACUACUAGCAAGACUUGUGACUUAUAAACAGAUUUAAAUCAAUGUAUUUCUGUUCGAACCAUUAAAAACAUCAAAAAGUCCCUGAUUCGUUUCAGUGAAUAAAACAGUUUUACGGCAGCUCUGAGUGAGGCGAAUACCGUUUUCUCUACUUUCAAUUCGUGUCUAACUAAAACUAAUUAAAAAUCAUUCUGAAGCAUUUCUGAGAACUUCCAUUACCCACCAUGGAGAAAUAGAUGACAUAAUAUUGUAAGGAAAGCUAACGGUGCGGAAACGCUCUCCUAAUGUCAAUUUGUAGAGGAUGUAAGCAAUAAUAUCUUUCUACUUCCUAAAUUGCAGAAUCUUAAGAUGACUUAAGCAGAAGAACAGAGCACGUAUAAAGAUCAUACACAUAAACACAAAGAUGUUUAGCUUUUCGGGAAAAAAUUCACACACAAAAAAGCUGAGCGUCUUCUUUGUAUUACAGUAAACAAUAUUACAUACAAUUGACAACGCACUUUUUGCACAGGGUCAGAUUGUGCUACAAUCAAUCCGCAUUUCUAUCACACAUUCCUAAUGAAUCCUACAACAAUUUAUGCACCUGCAAUUCGUUAUGGAAUCUGAUAUUGCAACCGUCACUUUACAAACAGUCAACUAACUCAGCCUUGUCACUUUUCCAUCCGACAGUCAUCAAACUAUGUACGGACACCACCAUACGAUGGAUGCUACACCGUGGUCAUCGUACGCCAUUCACACCAUAAGCCAUUGGAAACACUGUAUGGGUUUACAUUGGGCAACUACCAUACACUGCGGUCAUUGUAGGCCAUUCACACCAUACGCCAUUGGAAACACCGUAUGGGUCAGCAUUUGGCAACUGCUGUACGGGUCAAUUUAGUACGUACGAGGCAACCAAUGUAUGGUAUGUAUGGGUCAGUACGUACUUCAACAAUCUCCCACUUGCCGAGGUACGUACUGAUAUCCGUGGAGUUACUCAACAAGACUAAUAAGAGUCAGGGGCUUUAAGCCUCAUGGAGCUUGUGCACCAUUUAAACUUAAAUCUUCUCACCUGCUUUGUCAAUGCAUCUGCAACAUUCUCCUCAGUGCCAACCUUUUCUAGCUUCACCUUUCUAUCUUCAAUCAUGUCACGUACAAUGUAAUAUUACACAUCAAUGUGUUUUGUUCUGGCAUGGUAAGUAGGAUUCUUCGCCAAACAAAUUGCGCUCUGGCUGUCAUAGAAGAUAGUGAUUUGCCCUACAUCAAAACCAACAUCAGGACACAAGCGCUUAAGCCAAACAACUUCUUGACAUACACGAGUAGAUGCCAUGUACUCCGCCUCAGUUGUAGAUAAUGCGGUUACACUUUGCCAUUUGUUCAUCCAGCUAAUGGCACCACCAUUCACCAUGAACACAUAUCCACUGGUGGAUCUUCUUCUGUCAACAGUCCUUUGCCCAAUCAACAUCCACAUAACCUUGAAUGCUAACUCAUCUACUUUAUCUAGCUGAGUUACCUUGAUAGCACAAAACGUACUGUGUCGUACCCUUCAAAUAUAUAAGCACUCUUUUCAUGGCAUCCCAAUGCGGCUUGCCCAGAUUUGCCAUAAACCGACUCAACACUCCAACUGCUUGGGCAAUGUUUGGUCUUGUAUUGACCAUUGCGUACAUGAGGCUGCCAACAUCACUUGCAUAAGGUACCUGCUUCAUGUCUUGAACCUCAUCCAGAGACUUUGGACUGUCAUUAACUGACAACUUUGUUCCCUAUAAAAUUGGAACUACUUGCUGCUUGCAAUCAGUCAUAUUGAACCACUGAAGAAUAUUGGUAAUAUAUUUGCUCUGGUUGAGCCAAAGUUUCCUACUAUCCCUGUCUCUCUUGAUUUCCAUCCCGGUAAUAAAUUUAGCUUUCCCCAAAUCUGUCAUCUCAAAUUUUAAGGAAAACUGAUAUUUUAAAUCUGAGAUCAUUCCCUUAUUAUUGCCUAUAAACAACAUAUCAUCUACAUAUAGUGCAAUAAUAAGUAUCUGAUCAUCUUCAAUUUUAUAGUACACACAAUGAUCUAAUUUAGACCUCAUAAAAUCCAAAGAUAAAACAUAUGAAUCGUACUUAUGAUACCACAUUUUGGGUGAUUGUUUCAAACCAUAAAGAGACUUCUUAAGCUUACAAACCAAAUGUUCUUUACCUUUCUCCACAAAAUACUCCGGCUGGGACAUGUAUAUUUCCUCUUCAAGAUCACCUUGUAGAAAUGUUGUCUUUACAUCCAUUUGCGCAAUUUCAAAGUCAUGUGCCACUGCAAGUGACAACAGAAACCUAAUGGAUGUUAGCUUAGCUAUAGGAGAAAAGAUUUCUCCAUAGUCAAUCCCUUUUUUUUUAGAAUACCCCUUUGCAACCAGUCUUGCCUUCUACUUGUCAAUGCUGCCAUCUGAACCAUACUUCUUCUUAAAUAUCUACUUACAACCCACAACCUUUCUACCUUUAGGCAAGGGUACCAAAUCCCAAGUUCCAUUUUUCUCCAAUGACUUCAUUUCUUUUUUGAUGGCUUGCAGCCAAGAAUGGCAUAUUAAUUGCUUCUUUCAUAGUCCUAGGCUCAUCAGCAUCAGUAAGAAAAGCAUAGGCACAAUUAACAUUCAACAUUGAGUAAUUAAAUUUUUCUGGUGAAUAGUCGUACCUAUCAGGUUGCCGCCUCUCCCGUGUGGAUCUCCUUACUUCCUGUGGUGAGGCUUCACAAGGUUCGACAUGAGGUUCAUGAUCAUGUUCUUCUGAACUUGCAGAACUACUUGAGCUCUCCUCAUCCUCAGGCAUAUUGAGGUCCUCAGUCUCAAACACAUUCGGAGUUUGUAAUAUCCCCCUUUUAGAAGCGAAAGGGAUUUCAACUACUUCUUUUCCUUUUUCUGUUUUCCCUAGCUGCGGAUCUAUAGACACAAGUUUCAUCUCAUGGAAUAUAACAUUCCAGGUGUACAACACCUUUUUAGUGAGAGGGUUCCACAAUUUGUUUCCCUUCACACCAAUGUCGUAACCAAUGAAGAUGCAUUUCACUGCUUUAAUAUCCAACAUUGACCUGCUCACAUAACCUGCAUGGCCACAUGUCAUAUGAUAACUAUUAUUCUGAUAUAAUAUGGUUAGAAACAUUAAAACUUCAAAGAUAUGUAUCAUUCCACUUGGAAUCCUUUAUUUUUUUUGACAGUUAAACUUUUAAGUUACCCGCAUAGCCUAUUACAAAUUUACAUCAAAUUACACUAAAUUGAGAUUUAAAUGCAUGUGCAACUGUAUAGUUGUUCAGUAUUUUUUAGAAUCGUCCAAUCUUCAUUCAACUCAGUUUGAGCUUUUCAUAUCUCGUGUUCUUACCCUGGAAUUUACAGAUAUCAAUCUACACAAUAAACGCUUAGCUUGCGAGAGAAGACCAAUUCGUAACGGUUUUUAACAGCAAUAUACAACCAUACAAGGAAGACAUAAAGGCAACGCCAUUAAGAUUAUAAUAAGUCGAUCCAGCUUUCGACCAUGGCCAAUUUCAGCACUUAAUUUGUCUUUUCUAUGCACUCUAAUAAAAAUAAUUCUCAGGGCGACGGAAUAACCUUCUUUCUCUCAUCUGAAGGAUAUGCUUAUACUAUUCCGUAAUUCAAAAGCGAGGGAUUGUUUGGUCUUGUUGGAGAUAAACAUGAUGUGAUACCUGCUGUAUUUGCUGUAGCAUUUGAUAGUCUAGAGAAUAUUAUGGGAACAAUUUGGCAAAACUUCUCGCAUCGCCAUUAUCUGUGUUAGAGGAUAAAUUAAUUAUCUCCAAUCCUAUGUCGGCACAGACCAACACCAACCCAAUUGCUCAACACUGUCUUCAAUCCACGUGAUUCUUGUGUUGCACUAUUUCUUCAGAGUUUUCUAAACAUUUAACAUGUAUCUUCUUAUAAAUUCAAUUGUAAGGGCCUGUGUUCAGUAGAACUCAAAUUUAAGUUUCUCACCAUGUUUUUUUAUC